rnacentral:rRNA from 1 species
UUAGCCCUAAACACAAAUAAUUAUAAAAACAAAAUUAUUCGCCAGAGUACUACCGGCAACAGCCUAAAACUCAAAGGACUUGGCGGUGCUUUAUACCCUUCUAGAGGAGCCUGUUCUAUAAUCGAUAAACCCCGAUAGACCUCACCAAUUCUUGCUAAUACAGUCUAUAUACCGCCAUCUUCAGCAAACCCUAAAAAGGAAUAAAAGUAAGCAUAAUCACAACACAUAAAAACGUUAGGUCAAGGUGUAACCUAUGAAAUGGGAAGAAAUGGGCUACAUUUUCUACCACAAGAAAAUCACACGAAAGUUAUUAUGAA